GUUUCCGGGCUUGCUCGGAAAUUAGUGGCGAACGGCUGAGUAACGCGUAGGUGACCUACCCCGUAGUGUGGAAUAACUGCCCGAAAGGGUAGCUAAUACCGCAUGUUGAGCCGACAUCAAUGUCGUCUCCAAAGCAGAAAUGCGCUAUGGGCGGGGCCUGCGUUCGAUUAGCUAGUUGGUGGGGUAAUGGCUCACCAAGGCGACGAUCGAUAGGUGGUCUGAGAGGACGAUCACCCAGACUGGGACUGAGACACGGCCCAGACUCCUACGGGAGGCAGCAGUCGGGAAUUUUGCGCAAUGGGGGAAACCCUGACGCAGCAAUACCGCGUGUGGGAUGAAGGCCUUCGGGUCGUAAACCACUUUUUUCGGGGACGAUAAUGACGGUACCCGAAGAAUAAGCCACGGCUAACUACGUGCCAGCAGCCGCGGUAAUACGUAGGUGGCAAGCGUUGUCCGGAUUUACUGGGCGUAAAGCGCGCGCAGGCGGUGAAUGAAGUCGAAAGUGAAAGCCCCGGGCUCAACUCGGGAACUGCUUUCGAAACCAGUUCACUUGAAGGCGGAAGAGGGAAGUGGAAUUCCGAGUGUAGUGGUGGAAUGCGUAGAUAUUCGGAAGAACACCAGAGGCGAAGGCGACUUCCUGGUCCGAUCUUGACGCUGAGGCGCGAAAGCUAGGGGAGCAAACGGGAUUAGAUACCCCGGUAGUCCUAGCUGUAAACGAUGGAUACUAGGUGUUGGAGGUUUUAACCCCUCCGGUGCCGCAGCUAACGCAUUAAGUAUCCCGCCUGGGGAGUACGGCCGCAAGGCUAAAACUCAAAGGAAUUGACGGGGCCCCGCACAAGCAGCGGAGCGUGGGGUUUAAUUCGAUGANACGCGAAGAACCUUACCANNGCUUGACAUGCACAUGACCGCGGCGNANCGUCGCUUUCCCGAAAGGGNCGCGUGCA
rnacentral:rRNA from 1 species